AAAAAAAAAAAAAAAAGAAGCUGAGUUAUUUUAACUGAAAAUUGAGGAGAAAGGAUAUAGUUAAACAAAAUUUAUUCAAGAGUCUAUUUGUUUGAAUAAUGGUUUGAAAUGACAGGGUAAUUGAAUUUAUUAUUAAUGUUUAUAUUUAUAAUUUUUAAUUGAGAUUUACCAAAUACAAAUACAAAAUACAAAAUAGGUUUUCCUUUGAAAAAAAACCUAAGCAAAAUGAAUCGUAAAAAUCUCAAACGAAGAGUUGCCAAUUGGCACUUUUCUUCUUCUUCUUCCUUUUUAUUUAUUUAUUUAUUUUUUAUGACAGAAUAUGGAGGGACUAAGAUAUUCCAAGUUCCAUGUUUUGGGAGAACUUUUAAUUUGCCUUCUGCAUAUGGUAUAUACUGUAUGACAUUUGUGUUAUCUUCAACUGUGCUCUGUUUACAUGUAGCUUUGGACUUGGCUGGGAUAACUUGGUCAAUUCCGCUUCAAAACAAGAUUCAAGUUGUCAUGGUAAGCUUAAAUAUCUUCUAUUUAUUUUGAAUCAGGUCUUGUAAAUACUUAAAAAAGUUCAAUUUUCUAGGAAUGAGAAGGAAGAAGAAGCAUGCUUCGUCUUUUUAAUUGGAAACUGUAAUGUCUGCUUUCCUCAGUAAUGUUGUUCAGUUGCACUCUGUAAUUUUAUACACAAUCGCAAAGAUGGUGCAGUAUGAUAUGUGCGCUUAAUGGAGAUAUUGUCAUUAUGUUUAACUAGUAUAUGUCUGUUUUUUUCGUUGUCCAUUCAAGUUGCAAUGUAGUUUCAUGAACUAUUGAAUUUUCGUCCUUCAAAGAUUGAUGGUUUGAACGCGAAGUGUUGAAUUUAUCAGUUGUUGAUGUAAGAACUGUGUAAUAUAUAUCAGAAUAUGAAAUGUUGCAAAUCUGCAAAACUGAUGAAUUGAAAGAGUAUAAUAAUCUCGGUUCUGAAAAAUUUAGGAAAAUUUAUAUUUCCAAUAUUCAUUGGUUACUUUUCACUUGUGUCUUUGUUGGAAGACAACGCGGGGUUGCAUCCAUUAUUAUCAUUGAAAGCAACUUUCUUGACUGUUACACCAUCCAUCAGUAGCUCCUAUGGGAGUAGUUAGCAACUAAAACUAGAAAAAGAAAGAAGCAGCAGUUCAUAGUUGAUCUAGGAAUCUGGUUACCUGCUGAUUAAUUUGCGUAGUUGUUAAGACCUAAAUACGAUCACAUUCACACAUGUAGAAUCUUAUGAGAUAUGCUUUCAUUCUUCAUUUCAGGUCCUUUGCGCAUGCAUGGUUGCCCUCUUGCUUGCAAUGUAGUUUCUUGUUAUCUUACAUUAUAGUUUGAUGAACUACUGAAUUUUCAUCUUUCUGUGCCUCGAUUCAUAGAUUCAUGGUUUGAAUGCCAAGUGUUGAAUAUAUCAGUUGUCAAUGUAAGAACUGUGUAAUAUAUCAGAAUGUGAAAUGUUGCAUAUCUGCAGAAAUGAUGAAUUAAAGAGUAUAAUAAUCGCAGUUCUGAAAUAUUUCCAGUAUUCAUUAGAGAUCACUUUUCACUGGUGUCAUGUUGAGAUUCUGCUUUGUUGGAAGACAACGCGAGAGCUGCAUCUGUUAUUGUCAUUGACAGCAACUUUCUUGACUGCUACACUGCCCAUAAUUAGCACCUAUGAGAGUAGUUAGCAACUAAAACUUGGAAAAGAAAGAAGCUGCAGAAUCUUGUUACCUGCUAAACCUAAACAUGAUCACAUUAACACAUGUAGACAUCUCAUGAGAUAUUUUUCAUUUCAAGGCGUUUGCGCUUGCAGGGUUGCACUCUUGCUUGUGCAAUCACCCACAUCCUGAUGUAUCAGAAUUGAACAUAAUGUGAAAGGUAAGUA
rnacentral:misc_RNA from 1 species